rnacentral:rRNA from 1 species
UACGGAAGGCAGCAGUGGGGAAUAUUGCACAAUGGGCGCAAGCCUGAUGCAGCCAUGCCGCGUGUAUGAAGAAGGCCUUCGGGUUGUAAAGUACUUUCAGUCGUGAGGAAGGUGUUAAGGUUAAUAACCUUAGCAAUUGACGUUAGCGACAGAAGAAGCACCGGCUAACUCCGUGCCAGCAGCCGCGGUAAUACGGAGGGUGCGAGCGUUAAUCGGAAUUACUGGGCGUAAAGGGCACGCAGGCGGUUAAUUAAGUUGGAUGUGAAAUCCCCGGGCUUAACCUGGGAAUGGCAUUCAAGCUGGUUAGCUAGAGUCUUGUAGAGGGGGUAGAAUUCCAUGUGUAGCGGUGAAAUGCGUAGAGAUGUGGAGGAAUACCGGUGGCGAAGGCGGCCCCUGGGACAAAGGACUGACGCUCAUGUGCGAAAGCGUGGGGAGCGAAACAGGGAUUAGAUACC